UUAGCCCACGAAAGCUUAUGCCCAAAUACAUUUGUUAGUCUCUCAGGUGCCACAAGCACUCCUGGUUGUUUUUGCUGAUACAGACUAAUACGGCCACCCCUCUGAAACGUAUUGUUUAUUCACCCAACAAGCUACACUACUGCAUUCUCCCUUCCAGCAUCUGCUGCCUGCUCCCACCUUCCUCUUAAAAGGGGUUUAAUGAUUUUAUAGCCAUUUGACCCUAGGCUCUGACCUUGGGAAAACAAAUCUGCUUAAUUGGCUGGAACCAGUUAGAUGGGCAUUAUUCCAAUUAAUAGUCCUCCAUUGUUCUCCUAAGGACCCUUGGUAUCUCUGUGGAGGAAUCUGAUCUCUGUCAUUGUUUUGUUUCAUGUGUGUUUUUUCCCAAACAGUCUCCUUUGAUUUAACUCCAUGCAUUCAUACAGAAUAAUAUCAAGCAGAUAAACUGAUGUGCAUAUAAUAAUCAUAAGAAUAUUGUAGAGAUCUCCAUCAUUCUCCUCUAUUGGCCUUCUACAUAUCAUAGGCAAAUGCUAAUUCUGGUAAUGUUAAAUGGCUGCUGUCUGAUAAUGACAUUUCCUUGAAAAUUCUAGUGACCCAUAAGAUAACUGAAAGAUGGUAAUGAAAACACCCUUUUUUUCCAGUGUUCUGUGUGGUGUUUUGUUUUUUAAAAUCUGUGCAGUUUCUGGGUAGUCAGUAUUACUGGGUUCCCCUAUAUUGUGUCUCUCUUGCUGAGAAGACCUUUAUAAAUAUCACCAGAGCCGGAAUAAUCUGUAUAAAAACUGUUUUUAAAGAAUUUUAAAAUAUACAUAUACUGAAAACAGACUGAUCCAGAUUCAGCAAUGUACUGAAUGAGGUGCCUAACUUAAAUGAUUGUAGUGGGACCACUUACAUGCUUUAGGUUAGGUUAGGUAUAUGCUUAAGGAAUUUGUUGAAUCAGGACCACCAUUUGAACAGUGCUCAAACAGGAACUGCGAUGUUUUAAAUGAGUCCAUUUAAAAAAAGUCAAGUUGACACUGCCCUUUUGAUUUUGCCCCAUAAUAGUUUUGUUCCAACUCUCCAAAUCCAUUUGAUUAUUUAAGUGAUAAGGCUCAACUUCAACUUACUAGCCCUGUAUCCACCUGCUAAAGAUUGACAGAGAUGGUUAAAUGCCCCAGAAGUAAUGGUGGCAGUGUUUGUUUUAAUAGGUUUUUGCAAAUGUGUUUUCAACUGACUUAGGUACUUCAGGCUGAAAGACGAGCACUUGAAAUGUUUAUUUAAGCAUGCGUCUAAGUAUCCCAUUGACAUAAGGUUACUUCUGAUCAGUUUAUCUGAUCUCUAGAGAUGAUUGUGAAAUAAUCAGUGGAUUUAACAGCUCUGGUAUGGUUUUGGAUCUACUGUCAAGUUUAACAAAUAUCACCCCUUUGACCUGCCCCUUCCAUAGGGUUUAGAUACCAUGGCACCUUAGAAGCAUCCAAGAUAGAUUUACCUAUGCCUUUUAGCACAAGAGUCUCUUGCAGUUGUAUUCUUGCCACCACGAAUCACUGACUAGGGGUAAAAAUUUUAAAAGUGGGUAAGUGACCUCGGUCCUUAAAUGCUUCAGUCACUUGUCAAAAUGGAAUGUAGGGUCCUAACGGCCAGAUUUUCAAAGGUGUUUAGAUGCCUAAAGAUGCAGAUAGAGGCCUAGUGGGACACAGACAUCAGAAACACAUAAGCAGGUCAGGUGACUAAGUCCUAUUUGAACCUGUCCAAAGUUUAGGGAUAUUUGGUUCAGUGCAGUGUUUGGGAUUUUUCUUUCUUUGUAUAUUGUGCAUAGAGAUGGGGGGGAAAGUAUUCCCACUGAGUCAUUAUUACGGAUAGAAUUUAAUUAGAAAGUUAUCUGAUUCUGAGCCUUUCCCUGACAAUGGCACCUUCUGCCUUGAGUAUACUAUACUUCAUAAUAGCAAUGCAUCAGAGUGGUAGGAGACUCGCACAACUAAUUCACAUAGCAAGAAUAAUUCAGCUGUCUUUAAGGAAGGAGACAGAUCAUCACAUAACCAGAACAUAAAAAGAAGUGGACCAAAGCUAACACAGAAGAGAGAGGAUCAUCGAGGAUUUGCUGUGUCCAGAUUCAAGGAGAGUAUUGGGAAUCUAUUACCUCUUGGGUGAAACAAAUAAAAGGAUCUAAUCAAAUCAUUUCUACAGAAAAGCAUGCAUGUUGUAUUCUGAACCAUUCUGGUAGUAAUGUUUAUGAGGGUGGCCAUUUGUGCAUACAAAAAUCUGGCUUGUAUUCCCAGGCCCAGUAAGUACAUACAGAAAAUUAAACAUGUUUUUGCAAUUCUGCUUGAACAUGAUAUUUAAAAAUCAAGCCCUGCUUAUCCUAAACCAUGCUCUGACGGCCUUUGGUGUGGUCUUUUAGAGAUGUCAGAGCUGUAACCAACUCCCAGCCAAAUUCAAACCACGAAAAGAGAUAAAUAACAAACUCAUAAUCAAUAUGUCUUACUUUAACUUCCAACAACACAACACUCCCCUGCUGUUUUCCAAUCUCCUUUCAUAGGGCUAUUUUGUGCUACAAAGC